GGGACAGGGUAAGUAGAGCAUAGGGACAGGGUAAGUUGAGCAUAGGGACAGGGUAAGUUGAGCAUAGGGACAGGGUAAGUAGAGCAUAGGGACAGGGUAAGUUGAGCAUAGGGACAGGGUAAGUUGAGCAUAGGGACAGGGUAAGUUGAGCAUAGGGACAGGGUACGUUGAGCAUAGGGACAGGGUAAGUUGAGCAUAGGGACAGGGUAAGUAGAGCAUAGGGACAGGGUAAGUUGAGCAUAGAGACAGGGUAAAGACAGGGUAGGGACAGGGUAAAGAGAGCAUAGGGACAGGGUAAAGAGAGCAUAGGGACAGGGUAAGUAGAGCAUAGGGACAGGGUAAGGAGAGCAUAGGGACAGGGUAAGGAGAGCAUAGGGACAGGGUAAGUAGAGCAUAGGGACAGGGUAGGUUGAGAAUAGAGACAGGGUAAGUUGAGCAUAGACAGGGUAAGGAGAGCAUAGGGAGAGGGUAAAGAGAGCAUAGGGACAGGGUAAAGAAAGCAUAGGGACAGGGUAAGUUGAGCAUAGAGACAGGGUAAGGAGAGCAUAGGGAGAGGGUAAGUAGAGCAUAGGGACAGGGUAAGUAGAGCAUAGGGACAGGGUAAGUAGAGCAUAGGGACAGGGUAAGGAGAGCAUAGGGACAGGGUAAGGAGAGCAUAGGGACAGGGUAAAGAGAGCAUAGGGACAGGGUAGGUUGAGCCAACUUGGGGUAAGUGGGUGAUUGUGUCCUGUGACAGUGGGGGCUGGUGCAUGUUCUCAGAGCGUAAGACAUUAAUGUUCUAGACACAUUUCAUGGGAAUGUUGCAAGAACAUUCAUGUGUCCAGGUUCCUAAGGGUUAGGAGAAUGUUCCGCCCGUCCAAACAUACUGUAUACAGAAGAUGGUUGCCAUGUUCUCAGAACAUAAGAUAGUAAUGUUCUAGUAACGUUUCAUGGGAACAUUGCAAAAACAGUGUGUAAAAAAAAAAAUCCAUUACACAUCCUGUUGCUGAGCCAAUCAAGGCCCUGAUCAGUGAACCACUGAGAGCUCUUUGUCUGUUGGCAGAGUUGGGUAUACUCUCACACACAGUGAAUAAUUGAACUUGCAAAGUGUAAUCAUGUGUGUCAAAUAUGUAAGUUAUAAGCACUAACUCUUAUUCAACAUGUCCUCACCUGGGAUUUGAACUCACAACCUCUUGGUCUACAGUACUCCAAUCUUCCUGCUCUCAAUAGUUAGAUGAAUGGAUAUCAGGCAGGGACAUGGUGGCCAUGUCCGUGUCAGAUAUCCAUUAAUCUGAAGAUUGUGUCAUCAUUGAUUUGAUUGACUUAUUUCACAGCAAUUUAAGGACUUUGUGUAUAGGUGUCUAAUGUUGGUGGGGCAUAUAAACCUGUUUUACUGAUACUCCUGAAUCACUAUUAUCAAUAAAAUACUUUUAACAGAGCUGGAAUUUAGUUUGAAAGUGCAUUCACCCUACUACUUACACCCAUCAAGUUGUUUCAGAUCUACACAAGUGUGUAGGGAAGAGAGGUUAGGGUUUCUUCUGGACAGGACCUAACUGUACUAGACUAUAGACUAGACUAUAGACUAACUAUACAUGCCCUAGAGAUAACCCUUAUUGGGAAAGUGGUUAGGGUGUUUGUCAUUAAUGAUGCUGGCCUGGGCUUGAGACCUGCUAAGGGAGUCAUCCUACGCUCACGUUCUCAGCACUAUAUGUUAAUGACAGUUACAACACACUUAUCUGUUCUAAUUCAAAUGAGUUUGAAAGAUGGGAAUCUGUAGGAUUACCUUUGAGCACUAAAUGAUGACCAUAUUUCCACUACCUCUCAUAUGUUAUCAGUAUUUAUUCAUUCUAUACAGCUACCUAGAUUAAAUAAAGGUUCAAUGAAAUCAAUUGUUUUCUUGAAAUCCACACCGUUCAAAAAUUGGAUUUAGCAGCUGCAGAUUGCAGAUUAACAUAUUGUGAUGUCUGCUUUGUCCCAAGUGAUUCUGUUGCAAUCUGUCUGUUUUUCCACAUUAAAACUUGGAGAUGGAA
ensembl:lncRNA